rnacentral:lncRNA from 1 species
CAAACUGUACCUGUUCCGGCCUGCAGAUCCUCUGAGCUGCUGCUGCACUGAGACCUUCUGGGAGAACUCUGAAGGCUGUGGUCGCUGCUGGACACCUGAGUGUCAGAGGAGAGGCUGGCGUUGCUGCUGUGGCCGGGGGACAGCCUGCNNNNNNNNNNNNNNNNNNNNNNNNNNNNNNNNNNNNNNNNNNNNNNNNNNNNNNNNNNNNNNNNNNNNNNNNNNNNNNNNNNNNNNNNNNNNNNNNNNNNGCGCCUUGGCGCUGAUACGGUCUUGAUUGCGGUGAGCCUCCUGCAGGCCGAGUCCCGUCACUGCAUUGGGCAGGCGCGCCGUGGCGCUCUGCUUCUAAAGGCACGCUGCGCCUGGUGGACUCACACGGGACCGUCCUGACCUCCAGCUGUGAGCCAGCUGGCUGUCCUGCCUGCCACGCCCCCGGAGGCCCCAAAUGCGUGGGGGUCUGUCUCUCUGUGGACUGGAUGUAGAUCUGCGGGGGCCCUUUUCCUCCUCCUCUUGCCUGGAUUUCUUCUCCAUAAUCAUCUUCAUCAUCAUCGUCAUCUUGAGAAACAGCCGAUUUGUAGCUUUUCCUGUGUUUAUGAUGUCGACCGACAACCCGCACAGGGUGGAGGGUUUGGGGAGGAGGGGAGCGCUCCUGCUGGGGCCCCGUCUGUUGCUGCAGUUGUUCCCUGCUGCCUUUGUUGUGUUCUUGGGUGGGGGUCUGCAGGUUUGGUUUUUUGUGGCAUCCACCUGAUGUAGAUCCCGCUGGGACACCAGGAGGGGGCCCCUGCUGAGCUGGACUGCUGUUCUGCACAGGGCUGGGGCCACUGGGGCCUCCUCUCUCUGGACCUGCCGGGCCCCUUCUCUCAGGGACCACCAGGGCCCCUCUCACUGGGGAUGCUGAGGCCCCCCUGUCGGGGGCAGCCGACACCCCUAACCCUUGCCCUGCUGGGGCACCUCUCACUGGGCCUGCAGGAGCCCCUAUGACUAGGAUUGCUGGGGGCCCCCUGUCUGGGACAACUGACACCCCUCUCACCGGGCAUGCAGGGGCCCCUCUCUCUGGGCCCGCCGGAGCCCUUCUACCUUGGCCUGUUAAGGCCCCAAUGUCUGGGCCCUCCGGGGACCCUCUUACUAGGCCUGCUGAGGCCCUCCUGUCUGGGGAAGCCGACACCCCUCUCACUGGGCUUGCUGGGGCCCUUCUCUCUGGGACCGCUGACCCCCCUCUUUCUGGGUCCCCCUGUGCUAGUCUUGGUCCUCCUGGCAGUGGGGGGGCGAUGCUGACCUGUGGUCCGCUGUGUGGAGGCAGGAUCCCGGCUGAAGGUAGGGCCCCCGUGGGCGGCCCCCUCGGCGCCGCCUCCCGCAGCUCCUGUCCAGCUCUCGGUCGGUGACUCUCUGCAGCGGCAGCCGGGGUUCUGCCCCCGUCGGGCCGCUGCAGAGGUGCGGGGGGGCCCGCCUGCCCCCCCCUGAACUUGCUCCGAAGAGUGACGUAAGACGCGCCGUCGAUCUGCCUGACGGUGGCCACGGAGUUGACAAACUUUUUAAAGACGUCUCGGUUCUGAUUCCGGUGCUCACCGAGGAAGUCCCUGAAGUGCUGCAGCAGCUCGGCGUUCUUCACCGAACCCCCCCGGCUCUGCAGGAACUGGAGCACUGCGUCCUGCGUGAAGUGCGUGGCCAUGAUCGGAGCCGCGCGCGGCUCUCCCGCUCCAACGGUCUCAAAGGUCGGGGAGCAGUUUCUGUCAGACCAGAAUAGGCCCCGCCCACCUCAGGUAUUUCAUGUCGCCCUCACCUGCCGCAUUCCUGCGCGGUGCCCGGAUGUUUGUGAGAGGAGCAGGAUGUUCGUUGGAUGAGGAGGACUCCGGUGGUCACGUGACAGACACCAGCUAAAGAUGUGGAAGUGGAAAAGCUCCCACGCAGAAAUGCAGAAGUAAAUACCGUCAAAGUGGAGAACUCAGGUGAAGCAGCGAGGUGGGCGGGGCUUUUCUUUCCACCUGCAGAGUGAAUGAAUGACGUGUUAACGGAAGCCCGCGCAGGACUUGUGCUUCUUCUCCACCUGCAGGAGCGAGGCGAAGCUGCAGAGCCACAAGGAAAACGUCAGGACCGGAGUGCGGCUGCGCGGAGUUUAGGGUCAGAUGAGAAAAACAAUUCUGGAAAAUAUGAUUGUUUUUUUGUUCCUCACUUACAGGAAAAAAAGUCAAAAUGUCCAGAUUAAAGUCAAAACAGAUUUAAUCCGCUACAGCAAAGAUGUCUGUUUAUGGAAGCCGUGCUUGAAAAUGAAAGAUGUGGAGCAUUUUGUGAAGAUUUAUAUCCAGAAAGAUUUCAAAAAGUUCUUUACUUUUGGCGACUCAAAAUCAGAUUAUUGUGAGCGUAGCCGUCUUUCCGGGGUUCAGUGUCGGUAAAGCGGAGUGUCAUCUGUAAAAUAAGGAGCUCAGAGACGCGUUUGGGUGUAGAGGACCAAUCCUUUACUCUGCUUUCCAUUCUCAUACCCAGAAGUCCAUUUGUCUCAGGACGUCAUGAACCUGUCCUGCACAGAACACCAAUGCCAAGGUAAAGUGUUACAUACUCCCCUCCUCCAGAGGAAACGUCCCGUUUCUACAGAAAACAACAAAAAGGAAUGAAAAUAGUCUGUUAUGUCAGCAGAAGAACGUUGAAAAUGCCAGAAAGUGAUCCUCCUCAGACGUAGAGAUCUGGUCUUUGGAUGAAGACAGGAUGGAAGUGGACAUCUGCAUGGACACCAACGUCUUCAUCAACGGCUGCAGAGAUCCUGCAAACCACCCAUCAAUAGAUAAAACAUUAAUAAAUGGUAAAUCAAAGGAGCUUCCAAACAUUUGGAACGUUAUCAAUAAACGUUUAGCUCACCUGUUCAGUUAAGUUAGUCCGUCUGCUCUGCGGUGUUCACCUGCUGCUCUGAACGCUCACUUUCACUUUAAAUCUCGAGUUUUCUUUAAAUCUCUUCAUUUGACUUUUUUUCUAUUUGUUGGCCCUAAACUCGGCCGUAGAAAUCAAAGGUUUGAAGGCGGAGCCUCAGUUUUCUGGAAACCCUGUGGUUUCGCUCAGGUGAAGAUGAGCAGACUGAGUCUUGAAUGAAGGAGCGGCGCAGAGAGCUGACAAAGUGCUUUUAUUGAACAAAACCUGGGAGUGGGAGGAAAUAAGGCACUGCAGUUCUCUGACAGACAGACAGACAGACACUUUACUUUUUGAACAGUCAGAAGAGACUUUGAGGACAAUCUUAACAGUCUGGUUACUUUAUUUGACAAAUGGAACAAAUGCAUUUCAAUUUAAACCGUUUUCCCAGCAUGCUUCUGCAGGAACACGUGCAUCAGCCGCGUUUAGCCUUCUUAAAUAUCUUUGGGGGGGUUUCUCCCUAUAAUGCUCAUUACAGUGUAUUCAAAUGUGCUGAAUAUUUCAAAGAGACCAAAGAAAAGAGUGAAAUAGCUGUGAUAACUGGUGCAACUGUGGGCUUUGUAAUGUGUAAAAAACAAAAAAACUACAGUUAAGGUGAGCCUUUACAAGAUAAAAGCAGCUUUAAAACCAACCAUCUGCUAAAAUGUCAUCCACUGAACACUAACGGGGUCAGAAAACGCUCAGGCUUCAGAAACGACUGCAUGUCCUGGUUUGGCAUCAGCUUUCAGUCUACUCCAAAGUGCAGGAAGCUGCAGGCGGCGUGGCGAUGGCGGCGGCGGCGGUACAGACACUGGUGAUGCUUCCAGAUUCCCUUCAUGUUUCUCUGCUUUUAGUUCUGCUGCAGUUCCCUCUCAGUUUGACGGCUGAUGACUUUUCUCUUUCUUUGGAAGACCCCAUGCAGUCAGAAAACUUGAAGUCCACCUGGAGGUCUUUGAAAGCACCAGCAGCAUUACUGAAGGACAGUGGGUCCGCCACACCUGAAUAUAGAUCUGAGAGGAAUUCCGGGAGGCUUUAAAGCUUCUUGGGCAGACCUCUAUUGAGGGAACUUAUGGUUUAGUCCACAGUGGGUGGGGCUCUGGUGCUGAGGUAAACACGGGUCUAACUGACGGUCAGGUGUGAACAGGAGGCACAUUUAGGUCUUUUCUUCUUCAAAUGUGAAGUCUGCAUAGUGGUUUCAGCGUGAGCCGAGCUGCAGGCGCUACAGCGACGUCACGGCGGUGGACCUGAGGGAAUGGGCUGGGCCUGCGAAGGUCAGGGGUGGGGCCGGGGCAGGACUCGGGAGGAGACGGUCUGUGGGCCAGGCGCUCUCAUUCAGAUGCGCCAGCUGCUGCUCCCUGAGGCGCACGAGCUCGUCCAGGUGCCGCAGGCGGAUCAGGAGGGAGGGUUUGGUGCUGACAAAGCGCCGGUAGUCCUGCAGUUGGGCUUCGGUGAGGUAGCUGGAAAGAAUGGCGUGGACCACCCGCUGCCGCCGGUCCAGGUUCUCCUUCAGUUCCCGGGCAUCUUCAGUUUGACGGAGGAGCAGAGAGCGCUUGUGAUGAAGGGAGUCCUGCAAAAAACACAGAAUGGACCAAAGCUUACAGAGCAAUGACGAACGGGACAGCAGGGACCAUUCUUUAGAAAUGUCCAACACUUUUAGUGAAAUGAACACAAUAAAACAUUUAUUACUCCUGUCACGCAGCUGUCCUGGGGGGUAUUCCAGGAAGCAUGUUUGAACUAGCCUGACUUUAACCCUGAACUCUGGCUGAAAUCCGCCUGAACUUGUUUACUCUGGGUAUGUCGGUUCCAAAAGACCGGAUAUGAGUUGGCGUAAUUACGCUCCACUUGGUAACCCUGGGUUAACGCACGUGCACAGCAGGUACAUAAAGACAUUCUCAAUGGAUCAACGAUUUCUGGAGUCACCAUGGAAACGCGUGGUGAAAAAAAAGAAAGUGCUAUACUUCAGUGAGACGGAGUCUGAGGUUUUAAUGACAGCGAAUGAAGAUUAUAUUCCAUCAAAAAAGUAACACGGCUGCGU